rnacentral:misc_RNA from 1 species
GAAAUGCGAUAAGUAGUGUGAAUUGCAGAAUUUAGUGAAUCAUCGAAUCUUUGAACGCACAUUGCGCCCUUUGGUAUUCCUUAGGGCAUGCCUAUUCGAGCGUCAUUUAACCCCUCAAGCUCAGCUUGGUGUUGGGCGGAUUUGUCCCUCCCCCCCCGUUCGCAGGCCCAGCAAGGACUCGCCUCAAAUCGAUUGGCGGCCGGUACGUUGGCUUUGAGCGCAGCAGAAACGCGAACUCAGUGCCCGGCGGGCCGGCUCCCACAAGCCACACAUCUUAUUUUGACCUCGGAUCAGGUAGGGAUACCUGCUGAACUUAA